GUCGUACCUAAAUUUUUCAUUUUUGCAUCUGUAGUCUAUUAUGCUUUCUAAGGUAAUUAUUCGGUUGGUAAGCUAUUUAUAUAGUAUAGUAUAGAGUAAAAGGGUAUAAUAGAUUAUUUGAAAAGUAUUUAACAGGCAGAGAGAAGCGAUUCCGACCAUGUAAAGAAUACAUAUUCUUGAUUAGGAUUAAAAGCCAAAUGGAUCUGACCAUGCCCGUCUGUCCGCUGGUUUACUAGCAAAUUUUAAAGGAACCCAAAGGACGUGACCAUUCAUUAAUCUAGUAGAAUUCAUCUUCCAAUACUGGAAACUCUUAGUGAAAGCACCUAUCAUACAGCUUAUGUAUGGAAAGCAGAUCGAUAGAAGUAGAGACAGAUUGACUAAGAGAAUAAGAACAGUACAUAGUGUCCAGGACCCUACCCUGGCGACUCCCUUGAUCCAGAUCCCGCAGCAAAUCUAAGGCGGAGAACGCCAUCGAAACAUCACCUAAGACCAAAUGAUCUGUGGGACACAGAUCUUGUAGUGGGUAGGAGUUUAAGCAGGCACCCCCUUUCCGCUAGACCUCUUCAGCCCUAAUGCCCGCAGAAGUUCAAGUGCCUACAACAAUGUAGCCGAUACACCAUAACAUCAGCAGCAACAGCGACGAGCUGGAAUGUCAUCCAUCGUUGGUUCGACAGCAACAACAGAGCAGCGGUAGCAGUGUGCCGACAGAAAUGCGCCGCCCGCCCAUAGCAUGCAUCAGCGCGAAAAGCGGCCCAUUUCAGCAAUAACAAGACGCCUCUCUGGAACAAACUGAAAACUGCAGCGCUAGCAACUUGAACUGAGCAACAAUGUUGGGCUGAAAUCUAAAAAUCAAUACGGUGGAUUGCACGAGUUUUCGCUGCUGCUCUGCCAGCAUCGAAAAUAUGCUGAUGGAUGGUGGAUGGCGAAACGCAGAUCGGCCACACUUUUAAAACUGCUCUGAUAUUUUAUUAAUUUUUGGAAAUUUCUAUUGAUAUGCCAAAAACUUUUUGCAACGCCAACACGAACGCCGACAAAAAUGCCACCAGGCCCACACUUUUGAAAAUGUUUCGUUAAAUUUUCAUAUGUAUGUAUGUUAGUCUUGUUAAUUUCUACCGAUUUAACAAAAAACUUUCACAUGAAAAACA